CUUGCUCUUUCUGAAGCAUAGACACAUUGGAGAUUGAAAGUGUCUGUUGGCCUCACAGGCACUGAGGAAAGCCUCCCAUCCCCUCAGAUUUUCCUCCUUUUUCCUGAGGUCCCCUGAACCUAAUAGUCUGUAAUCUUAUUCCAUGUCUGGGUCAACAAACCACCUUCCAUGGAGGACUUGAAUAUAAUAAUCCGUUUCCUCUGCAUUCCUCCAGAACACAGAGUCCACACCAUCCAGGAGUCUAUCAAACAAAAGAUUCCUCAUUGGUCUCAAUGUUGAGCACUGAAAGUUCUCUGAGCUCAUUUAGCACCAACCCAUCAUCCUUAAAAUCCAUAGGAUGGGCCGGGUGCAGUGACCCAUGCCUAUGAUUACAACACCUUGGGAGGCCAAGGGGCAGAUCUCUUGAGCCCAGGAGUUCAAGACCAGCCUGGGAAACAUGGUGAGACACCUUCUCUACAAAAAAAAAAUUUUUUUUUUGAGACGGAAUCUCACUCUGUCACCCAGGCUGGAGUGCAGUGGUGCAAUCUCGGCUCGCUGCAACCUCUGCCUCCAGGGUUCAAGCGACUCUCUGCCUCAGCUCCCGAGUAGCUGGGAUUUCAGGCAUCCACCAGCAUGCCCAGCUAAUUUUUGUAUUUUUAGUAGAGACAGGGUUUUUACCACGUUGGCCAGGCUGGUCUCGAACUCCUGACCUCGUGAUCUACCCGCCUCAGCCUCCCAAAGUGCUUGGAUUACAGGCGUGAGCCACUGCACCCGGCCUACAGCCUCUAAUUUCAUUUUCAUCCAAACUGGAGGCAAACCAGAUAUAUAGACAUUUGUAUUUCUGUCUUCUUCAACAUGAAAUUAUCCUCAUUCCAUUUUUCUUUUAUCUCC
rnacentral:lncRNA from 1 species